UUACACAAACUCUUGAAGACUACUUAUGGGACAGUGAAUGAUGUAGAUGUCCACAUUUGGAUGCUUGCGCAUCGCCAUGGUUGUAUUGUCAGCUCAUCUCAUUCUGGUGUGUAAGCGUUUUUUAUUGGAGAAAAAUUCUUGCUGCGUGCUCAAUGCUGGUCAGGUCAGGUGGGGCUGGAAUGGGCAAUGCCGAAAGUGCUGCUGGCGACUUUUUAGCUGUGGAAAUGUGUAUCUUGCCAUGGCAGGAUGGUGCCCUGGUAGCUGGUAUGGUGUGAUUCUGAAGGUCCAAAGAUUUGACUUUCAUCCUGAUUCUUAUACCCUCUUGGGUCGUUAGUCGUUUACUGCCAUUUGGCAAGAAGAAGAAUCCUCCACGCGCUCUACGGAAUCUACUACUACUGGCCAGCAGUUGAGCUUUUGACGAGACUCUUUUCACUGGAUCCGUACAAUCUGUUUCUGGAUCCCUUUUGCCCCUGCCAUUUCUGGAUAUUCGUAUCUGACAUGCGAAAGAAGCGGAGCAGCCUUUUCUCGGAAAGACUAUGCAUGGCUCGUGCUACAAAUUUUAUAUCCAUCGCCUGAAAGAGCAAAGUAGUCUCGGUGGAGCGAAUCGGCCUAACAUAGAAAUUAUAGUUCUGACAUACUAGUUGGGCUGCCUAUCGUGAUUACAUACGUGAGCUAGCCAAUAUGCAACUAGCGACCUAUUAGCCGCAGCAGCAUGUGGUCGCUGGCCGCGUGAUUAACACAUGGUAUUUGCUACCCAAAAGCUGAGGUGCAUCUUUUUAUUACUGUUUUUCUUUUCUUUCGUCUAUUUCUUUUGGGUUCUAAUUUUUCUUUUUCUUUUCUUUUUUCUUUCUAUUUUCUUUUUCUUUUUCCUUUGUAUAUUAACUUCUUUUAGUUGAACACAGUAGCUCAUGUGGUGCUGGAUGAUGGGAUUUUUAUUACUAACGUUGUGGGUCCAAUACAGCUGGUAGGUUGCUACGGGGUUUGCUUCCUAAUGUUUCUGCUAGCGGACUAGUGAGUAGCUAGGAUGGCAGAGAGACAGUAUAACUCUUUGUACUAUAUAUUCAUACCACUAGAUUUUUAUGUACAAUUUUCUUUCCAUUGUUAUUUUUUUCUCAUUCUAUUAUUUUAUUCUAAGCCUACAUUUAUAAAAAUUAUGUCUUUUUCUCCAUUUAUUUAUACUUAUUUUCCUUUUGUAUUCUUAUCUUAAUUUAUCCUUUUCCUUUUAAACUAGUUUUUACUUUUUUCUUCUCGUGUAUUCUUAUUCUAUUCUAUAUUUUCUUUCUUUGAUUUUAUUCCAUUCUUUUUACCUAUUCUUCUUAUAUUUCUUUGAUAUGUUUCUAUUACUCUCUGUCAUAAUAUAAAAGUUCGAGGCGUAUAA